rnacentral:rRNA from 1 species
GGAUAGGUAGGAGCCUUAGAAGCGUGAGCGCUAGCUUACGUGGAGGCAUUGGUGGGAUACUACCCUAAUUGUAUUGGAUUUCUAACCCGCAGCACUUAUCGUGCUGGGAGACAGUGUCAGGCGGGCAGUUUGACUGGGGCGGUCGCCUCCUAAAGAGUAACGGAGGCGCUCAAAGGUUCCCUCAGAAUGGUUGGAAAUCAUUCAUAGAGUGUAAAGGCAUAAGGGAGCUUGACUGCGAGACCUACAAGU